GAUGAAGAACGUAGCGAAAUGCGAUACGUAAUGUGAAUUACAGAAUUCAGUGAAUCAUCGAAUCUUUGAACGCACAUUGCGCCCGCCAGCACUCUGGCGGGCAUGCCUGUUCGAGCGUCAUUUCAACCAUCAAGCCCCAGGCUUGCGUUGGAGCCCUGCGGCUGCCGCAGCCUCCUAAAAGCAGUGGCGGGCUCGCUAUCACACCGAGUGCAGUAGAUUACUCUUCGCUCAGGGCGUGCAGCGGGUUCCGGCCGUGAAACCCCCUACUUUUAAAGGUUGACCUCGGAUCAGGUAGGAAUACCCGCUGAACUUAAGCAUAUCAAUAAGCGGAGGA
rnacentral:misc_RNA from 1 species